UACAGAGGUCCCAAGCGUUGUUCGGAUUCACUGGGCGUAAAGGGUGCGUAGGUGGCCAGGUAAGUUCGGUGUGAAAGCUCGGAGCUUAACUCCGAAAUGGCAUUGAAUACUAUCUGGCUGGAGGGUCGGAGGGGAGACUGGAAUUCUCGGUGUAGCAGUGAAAUGCGUAGAUAUCAGGAGGAACACCGGUGGCGAAGGCGGGUCUCUGGGCCGAUACUGACGCUGAGGAGCGAAAGCGUGGGGAGCAAACAGG
rnacentral:rRNA from 1 species